rnacentral:rRNA from 1 species
UACGAAGGGGGCUAGCGUUGUCCGGAAUUAUUGGGCGUAAAGAGCUCGUAGGCGGUUUGUCGCGUCUGCUGUGAAAACCCAGGGCUUAACCCUGGGCCUGCAGUGGGUACGGGCAAACUAGAGUGCGGUAGGGGUGACUGGAAUUCCUGGUGUAGCGGUGGAAUGCGCAGAUAUCAGGAGGAACACCGAUGGCGAAGGCAGGUCACUGGGCCGCAACUGACGCUGAGGAGCGAAAGCAUGGGGAGCGAACAGG